AUGCUAGGAGUCCAGAGUCUUGUCUCUCUCUCUCUCUCUCUCUCUCUCUCCUUCUCUCUCUCCCCCUCCCUCUACUCCCUUCCCACCAGCACUGGCUGCCCUAAGGUACGACCCGGGAACCCCCUGGGCCCUGCAGGAAACUGGAAAACCCACAGGACUUCCGAUGGCUCAGAUCUCUUCCAGUUCAGACCAUCCACAAGGGUCUGCUCUGAGGCCUCCUUCUCAGGAACUCUAUGUCCUCCGGUUGCACCCAGGCCCGCCAGAGCGGGUCUGGUCCAGACUCAGCUGGAAGCUGCACCCUCUCCACCUCCCCUCCACUGUCCCAACGGCCCCCACAGGCCGCCCCUCUGCCAGGUGCUCCAGGCGGUGCCCACUGCCCCUCCACGGCCCCUGCCCACGGAGUCCCCGGCGAGUGGCGGGGCUCAGCCCUGGCUCAGCUCUGCACUGGCCAAGUGGACCCAGAGACCAGCAGACCAGGGGCCUGUGCUGCGGGAGCUGCACGUGGGAGAUGACCCAGGCCGUGGCCAAUUCCCGGCCGUGCCAGUGGCUCUCACGGGAAUGUCCAACUGGGUCCCUAGCUCUCAAGCCUUCCCGAUUGUCCUGAGGCCACACAGUCACACUUUAAGACCGGCUGUGUGUGUGCGUGCGCCCGGUCGCUGCCUUCGUGAGAUGCGGGUGACGGAACGGCCGGCCUCCGAGGAAGGGCAAUGCCACCUGUCCGCGCCGCUUGGCCUCGACGCCACCUCAAGCAGAGGCCAGCAAGCCUCCCGAGGCAUCGUCUUCCUUCCCUUCUGUGGCCCGGAGGGCGCAGUUCUCACCCUCGGGUUGCGCUGCUCCCCAGCCUCGGCCAAGGCCCGGGCCUGGCGCACGCACCUGCUGUCGGCCUUGGCCGCGGGCCAGCAGCUCCCAGCCAGAGGCCAGCGCAGAACCGAGAGCCGAGAGCCGCGCUCGGCGACUCGACGGGAGGCUACGCCCCCGCCACUCCCGGGACCUCGCCCACAGGUUCCCAGGAACUGCACACGCUAGAGAAGAUGAUAGUCCAGCCGGGUCCCUCUGCCUCCAAACGGUGUCCCCUAAUUCAACAAGAGUCUCUAUGUCUCAGGGGGGACAAGGUUGGCACAGUGAUGCCAAGAAGAAGGACUAGACCUUUCUGGAUUCCAAGACCCCUGACCUUACAGGUUAGUCCCUGGUUCGAAUGAUCCAAGCCAGCCCAUCCUUCCACCAGCCCUGGCACUCAGCAGAACACACUGUGCAUUUGUUUCUACCUUGGCAGGCCUGUACCAUGAUCUUUCUUGAGCAAAAUAAUAGCUAUCUGAUUGGCAAAAGGCAGUCCUUGCCUGCAGUCUCUGGUUGUUGGAUAAAUGAAAAUAAACCCAUAAAGAGAAGAAAAAAGACCA
rnacentral:lncRNA from 12 species